rnacentral:tRNA from 1 species
GCCCACAUAGCUCAGUCGGUAGAGCACCUCCAUGGUAAGGAGGGGGUCACUGGUUCAAAUCCAGUUGUGGGCUCCG